rnacentral:rRNA from 1 species
UACGUAGGGAGCAAGCGUUGUCCGGAAUCAUUGGGCGUAAAGCGCGCGUAGGCGGCCUCAUAAGUCCGUUGUGAAAGUCAAAGGCUCAACCUUUGAAAGCCGAUGGAUACUGUGAGGCUAGAGUCCGGAAGAGGCGAGUGGAAUUCCUGGUGUAGCGGUGGAAUGCGCAGAUAUCAGGAGGAACACCAAUAGCGAAGGCAGCUCGCUGGGACGGUACUGACGCUAAGGCACGAAAGCGUGGGGAGCAAACAGG